UCAAAAAAAAUAUUCUUCCAACAAAAUAGUAAUGUAAUCGUUUAACUUAUUUGAAAUUAUUUCAUAACGUUCCAACAGCGAAAAUUCCGUACUUUAAUAAGUCUGACAUAAUAUGCUCUCUUUGAUCCAGCUCACAACGACACGACACGACGCAGGAAUAUUCUCUUGGCACUGACGAUCUGACUAUCUGAUGUAUAAAGGAUAUCUGGAAAAAAUGGACAUACUUUAAAGAACCACAAGAUGCCAUCGUCUCGAGGCUGACCCAUCUGCCACAGCUGCCUAAGUCCAAAGGAUGACCAUUGCCGAGCACACCUCGCUUGAUUGUCCAAGGUCAUCCAAUAUUUCUGAGUUUCUUUAUGCAGCGCUUUCUGCCAGGACCUUUACGUGAUUUUCCCAAGCCACUGAAGUGACGUCGACGUCUGGGUUAGCAGUAGCAUGAGCCGUCAGGCAAGUGUUAUUUAAAUAAACUACUGAUGUACUUUCAAACUUUCUUU